rnacentral:rRNA from 1 species
AACGUAGGGGACAAGCGUUAUCCGGAUUUACUGGGCGUAAAGCGCCCGUAGGCGGCCUGACAAGUUGGACGUGAAAGCUCCUGGCUUAACUGGGAGAGGCCGUUCAAAACUGUCAAGCUAGAGUCUGGAAGAGGAAAGCGGAAUUCCCGGUGUAGCGGUGAAAUGCGCAGAUAUCGGGAAGAACACCUAUGGCGAAGGCAGCUCUCUGGGACGGUACUGACGCUGAGACGCGAAAGCGUGGGGAGCGAACAGG